rnacentral:rRNA from 1 species
UACGUAGGGUGCAAGCGUUGUCCGGAAUUAUUGGGCGUAAAGAGCUCGUAGGCGGCUUGUCGCGUCGUUCGUGAAAACCUGCAGCUCAACUGCAGGCUUGCGGUCGAUACGGGCAGACUAGAGUUCGGUAGGGGAGUCUGGAAUUCCUGGUGUAGCGGUGAAAUGCGCAGAUAUCAGGAGGAACACCGGUGGCGAAGGCGGGACUCUGGGCCGAUACUGACGCUGAGGAGCGAAAGCGUGGGGAGCAAACAGG